UGGGGUCGCAGCGGCAGAAUGAGAUAUCGGUGGUGAUAUUACUGAAGCUUUGCGAGAACAGUGGGGUCCACCGUAACAUGGUGGUCUGCAACGACGCCAAUCGCGCCAAGCAAAAGGCGGAGACAUUGACAAAGCUUUUACGGCAACCGAGGUCCGGCAACGGCGCUGCACGACCGUCAGACGUGUCAUUAUAACUCGCUCCACGUCACCACCGUGGGCCCACCACCUAGCUACGUUCCCAGAUAUAGCAAUGGCCAUGUAAUCAAACACUGAAAGAGUAAAAAACAAACAAAAAAAAAGGAAGAAAAAUCUAAAACUUGUAAGUAUCUAUGUUAGGAGAGGAUUGUAAAACUUGUGAUAAAGGUGUUGAAUUGAGCUGAGUUUGGUUAGCCUUUUUGGAGCUUAAAAAAAAAUAUUCUUACAAGCACAGAGGAAAGUUAGUGUGAUGGCCUGGAUCUCAGGUGCAGUACUUGUAGAACAUGCAUUUCUCAGUUGGUUGCUGAUGAUUAAGCUCGUUGGGGGAGUAUAGGGUGUCUUGAGAGAUUCCUUCAAAGUUCAUCCUUGCCGUCUCCGCCACAACGGAUACACUUGAAAAUUGGGAGGAUCGACGAGAGGCUGGGGUCGUCUAAGCUUGUGCGACUCGGUUGAGUUGCUGAACACGUUGAAGAUCCUCCACUACAUCUGCACGUUCGCCCUCUCUGCCCAUCUUCCACCACAGCGCCUGGCCUCCAUCGAGCUUGUCACCAUGACCACCAUGAUAGCAAAGAACUUCAACGACCGUCGUCAAACAACUAGCCAAUCGUGAAGCUCGAAGCACCAUCUUCUCGGCCUCCUUGCUCCGCUCCCUGCAAAUCCCUCAGCCAAGCAUCCUAAUUU
rnacentral:lncRNA from 1 species